rnacentral:lncRNA from 1 species
AUAUGGCUUAAAGCCAAUACAUAAACAAGCUUACAACUUGAAAAAAUAGUAGGUUAACCUAAACUUCACCUACUACCACUAACAAACUUAGUAACUUGAGCUAAUUAACUUGUACAAAUCAACAAAGCUGAUUAAUCAGCUCAAUCACCAUCAGUUUUACAUCAAAUAUAAACCUAACAUAGUUGAAAUACAACUAAGUUACAUUGCAUUAACUUAAAAAUACAAAAUAAGUGAAAACACAGCUUGCUGGCUUGAUGAGCUUGCAGCUUCUUCAUGUAGUGCCCUCGACAGUCUUGGUUGCUGCAUGCUGACCAUUUCUUCAACACUCCUCCUUGGUUAGCAUGUUGCAAACUCCCAUCUUAGUUCUUAGGUGUUGAAACUUGGAAACACUGAGUGUCUUUGUCAAAAUGUCAGCAGUUUGCUCUUCAGAACUACAAUUAACUAAUUUGAUAACAUGAGCUUGCUCCAUUUCUCGAACUACAUGAAGUUUGAUGUUGAAAUGCUUGGUCCUUCCAUGAAAGACAGGGUUCUUUGCAAUUGCAACAGCAGAUAGGUUGUCACACAUUAUCUCUGUUGCUUCCUUUUGCUCAUGGUUAAGAUCAGCUAAGAUUUUUCUAAGCCAUAUGGCUUGAUAAACUGCUGCAGCAGCAGCUAUAUAUUCAGCCUCUGUAGUAGAUUGUGCUACUACUGCCUGUUUCUUUGAACUCCAGCAAAUCAUACCAGAGCCUAGGUUGAAUGCAUAACCUGUUGUGCUCUUCAUAUCAUCCAAAGAACCUGCCCAAUCACUAUCACAAUAGCCAACUAACUUUAAGUUCUCAGCCUUGGUAAAUUGCAUUCCAUAGGACAAAGUUCCCUUGAUGUAUCUUAGAACUCUUUUUGCAGCUCUAAAGUGACUUUCAUUUGAGCAAUGCAUGAACCUUGAGAGUAGACUCACAGCAUACAUUAUAUCAGGUCUGGUAGCAGUCAAAUACAACAAACAUCCAACUAGACUUUGAUAGGUUGUUUCACAGACCUUUUCAUGCUUAUCUUGGCUCGAGAGUUUUUCUCCAACAGCAAUUGGUGUGCUGGUUGCUUUGCAAUUAUCCAUUGAGAAUUUGUUGAGAACCUUCAUAGCAAAGGUCUUUUGACUAAGCCAAAUUCCAUUUUCAGCUUGAGUUACUUCCAUGCCUAAGAAGUAAGACAUCAAUCCCAAGUCAGACAUCUCAAAGUGCUGUUGCAUUUUAGCUUUAAAGCUGCUUAGCAUCUCUCGAUCUCCUCCUGUCACCAGUAAGUCAUCGACAUAUAUUGACACAAUGAACUAAAUUUCAGUACUAGUCAAUUUAACAUAGAGAGUUGGCUUACUUAGACUUCUCUCGAAUCCCAAACUGGUCAGAUAUCCAUCAAUUCUGCUAUACCAGGCCCUUGGAGCCUGUUUCAAGCCAUACAAGGCUUUGUUGAGUUUGUACACCAUUUCUUCCUUUCCAGACACCUUGAAACCUUGAGGUUGCUCCACAUAAAUCUCCUCUUCAAAGAAUCCAUUCAGAAAUGCUGAUUUUACAUCAAGUUGGUGUAUCAGCCACUGUUUUUGUGCUGCUAAGGCAACUAGCAGUCUGAUGGUGUCUAGCCUGGCCACUGGUGCAAAGGUUUCCAGGUAGUCUGAUCCAUACCUUUGACUGAAGCCUUUCACAACCAAUCUAGCCUUUAAUUUGUCUAGGCUACCAUCAGCAUUGUUCUUAACUCGAUAAACCCAUUUGACACCAAUAAUCUUCCUAUUUGUUGGUCUAUCAACCAGACUCCAGGUCUGAUUCUUUUCAAUCAUCCUGAUUUCUUCAAUCAUUGCUUGCUUCCAGUCCUCCUGGCUUUCUGCUUCUUCAAAGCAACUUGGUUCAAUAGUAGCCACUUGUGCUCUUUCAUAAACAUCAGCCAGUGAUCGAGUGCCUCUGAUUGGAACAUCAUCUACAUCCAUUUCAGGUGUGUUUUCAUCAUUUUCAACUUGGUCCAAUGCCAGAUCUUCAGCCACUGCCUCUAGUUCAGCCUUCUCCCAAUUCCAGUGUCCUUUUUCAUUGAAAACAACAUCCCUGCUAACCAAUAUCUUGUUUGUAGUAGGUUCUAGAAUUCUGUAGCCCUUUUUAACCAAGCUAUAGCCGAUCAGGAUCCCUGCUUGAGCUCUUUUAUCUAGCUUGCUUCUCCUCUCAGCUGGAACUUGAGUGUAGCACAGACAACCAAAGGUUCUGAGAUGAGCCAGUGAUGGCUUAAACCCAAACCAGGCUUCAUAUGGAGUCUUCUCAGCCAGAGCCUUGGUUGGGAGCUUGUUUUGGAGAUAAACUGUUGUGUUAACAGCUUCAGCCCACAGAGUUUUGGGCAAAUUCUUCUCAAACAGAAGACAUCUUGCCAUGUUCAUCAAGCUCCUAUUUUUCCUUUCACUGACCCCAUUCUAUUGGGGUGUAUACACAUUAGUCAACUGGUGUUUGAUACCUGCUUCUUCAUAGUAGGCUUGGAACUGAGCUGAGGUGUACUCAGUUCCAUUAUCUGACCUCAUUGCUCUAAGUUUGCAACCAAACUCAGUUUCAACAGCAGCUUUAUACUUCAGGAACACAGAUGGAACUUCUGAUUUCUGUUUUAGAAAAUAAAUCCAGCAGUAUCUUGUAAAGUCAUCAAUAAAUAGAAUAAAGUACCUGCUUCCUUUGAGAGACUUAGUCUUCAUUGGUCCACACACAUCUGUAUGCACAAGCUGGAGCUUCUCUGAUGCUCUCCAUGUUGUGCUUGUUGAAAAUGGCAAUCUUGCCAAUUUUCCUUGCUGACAUAUCUCACAAAGCUCAUCAUUCUUCACUGAAUCGAUGAAAUUUUCCGCCAGACCUUCAUUGACCAUGUGGGCUAUGGAUUUGUAGUUUGUAUGUCCAAGCCUCUGAUGCCAGAGUCUGGAGUCACCAGUGGAGGCUAUGCAGGCUGAAUGUAAGUCAUUUGGCCAAUCUACUUCAAAACAUUUAUCAGUCAUGGUGACUGUUAUGAGGUUUGAUCCACUUGGAUAAAAAAUUUGACAUUCUUUCUCCUUGAACACAACUGAGUAACCUUUCUCAAGUAGUUGAGUUAUACUGAGAAGGUUCCUAUCGAUUUCAGGUACCAAAAGUACAUUUGAAAUGAUUUUGCCACCUGUAGAGGUAUGAAUCAGCACAUCUCCUCUUCCUUCAGCAUUAAUCAACUGACCAUUUCCAAUUUUUACCUUGGUUUUGCAGGUUCUGUCCAGGGUUUUGAAGAUGGUUGCAUCUGGUGACAUGUGGUUUGUGCACCCACUGUCUAGAAGCCAGCCCUUUGAACCCUUCUUCUGAUUUGCUGCACAUGACACAGUAAAAACAUGUUCUUCUUGAUCAUUGCUUUCUUCAGCUACUCGAGCUUCUACCUUUUGUUGCUGAAAUUGAUUCUGUCUUGGUUUGCUUCUAUUCUUGCAACCUUUUUCAACAUGGCCUUUUUUCUUGCAGUGUUGGCAUACUGCAUCUGGUCUAAACCAGCAUCUAUCUUCUGGAUGACCAGCUCUUUUACAAUAUCUGCAGAGUUGGUCACUGCUCCUAGCAGCAUCAGGCUUAGGCCUGUUUUUCCAGAACUUUUUGCCUUUGUGAGUUUUGAUGCUCGAGGCUUCUUUGGCUUGAAAAGCCCCUUCCUGGUGCUCCUCUUGUCUGCUGGCUCUUCUUUGCUCUUGUGCAUACAAGGCAUUGAUUAGCUCAGUUAAGGAGAUAGUUGUCAAGUCCCUUGAGUCUUCGAGGGAUGAAAUUUUAGCUUCAUACCUCUCUGGUAGAGUGGACAUGACUUUCUCAACUAUUCUAGCUUCACUGAAUUGCUCUCCUAGGAGCCUUAUGCUGUUUACAAUAGCCAUAAUCCGAUCUGAGUACUGCUUAACUAUUUCUUCCUCUUUCAUUUUGAGAUUUUCGAAAUCUCUUCUCAAGUUGAGCAGCUGUUGUUGCCUUGUUCUCUUAGUCCCCUGAAAUUCUUCUUUCAGCUUGUCCCAAGCCUCCUUUGGUGUUUCACAGGCCAUAAUCCUCAUAAAGAUCACAUCUGUCACACAAUUUUGUAUGCAUGACAUGGCCUUGUGCCUUUUUGUUCUUUCAUCAGCGUGUUGCCUUAUUUGAGCAACUGUUGGAUUAACUCGAAGAGGUGCUGGCUCAGCAUCUGAGUUAACAACUUCCCAUAGGUCGAAUGCCUGCAGGUAAGUCCUCAUCUUAACUGCCCAAAUGUUGAAGCCCUCUCCAUUGAAGACAGGUGGUGAAGCUGGUGAAAAACCUGAUGAUGCCAUGGUUCUGAUACUGAACUACAACAGGUCCUCUAAGAAUAUGGCUCUAGAUACCAAUUGUUGGAUCUAAGUGGUACAGCAGCAAGCUUCAACAGAAUGCUUGUCAAGCAAGUCUCGUGACUUGCAGCAGAAACAAAGCAGAAAACUCAAAUAGAUUUUGAAGCAAAACUAAAAAUGGAGAGCAUAUGGAUGAAAACUUGUUGAAUUCAUUCAAAAAACUGAAUAUGGCUUAAAGCCAAUACAUAAACAAGCUUACAACUUGACAAAACAGUAGGUUAACCUAAACUUCACCUACUACCACUAACAAACUUAGUAACUUGAGCUAAUUAACUUGUACAAAUCAACAAAGCUGAUUAAUCAGCUCAAUCACCAUCAGUUUUACAUCAAAUAUAAACCUAACAUAGUUGAAAUACAACUAAGUUACAUUGCAUUAACUUAAAAAUACAAAAUAAGUGAAAACACAGCUUGCUAGCUUGAUGAGCUUGCAGCUUCUGCAUGUAGUGCCCUCGACAGUCUUGGUUGCUGCAUGCUGACCAUUGCUUCAACAGAUCGUUUAUUGGGCUUGCCGAGGUUCUGUCAUUUUUUUGUGGUCUUUUUUAUUCCUCCUUUUCUUUCGUAAGGGUGCAUGGGGUUUGUACUUAUCGUGCAUGGUUUUUGAAUCUUCUUCAUGAUUGCCAUUAAUGGUUCGGAUUCUUUUUGCAUGGAUAACAUUAAUGGUAGAGUCUUCUUUUGACUUGUUUCAAGAUAUUCUCAUUAUAGGGUUAAUCUUGCUAUAACAGGAAUUUUGUUUACAAUAUUCGUUUUUUAUAUUGUUACUCGGUUGUCUUAGUUUUCUUCAGAUUAUGUGUAAGUUGUUGUUAAUCUCUUGGGUAUCUCUUGACUGUAGUUUCCUGCUUCGGGUUUUGAUUUCUUGCAUGUUUCUCUCUGUCUUGAAGCAUGAGGGUGGGUGUUUAUCGAAAGGUGUCUCUGUAGGGUUUUGAGGUUCUCUUUUCUGUCUUAUGUUGGAUUGGUACAGCACUUCGCUUUCUUUUGUUUGGUGUCUAUAUUUUGCAAACUCUGUUGGCUGGUUUGAAUUCUGUUCGGUGGAGUGCUUCGCUCUCCUUUUCUCUUGUCCUGGUUCUUGAUUCGGUUGUGGCUUGGUCUGGGGUUUCUUCAUGCCAUGAAGUUUAUUUGUUGGAAUUGUCGGGGUUUGGGGAAUACCGCGACUGUCAGGGAGCUAAAGCAAUUGCUGGCUACUUAUAAACCUGAUAUUGUUUUCCUAAGCGAAACAAAGAUGAGUGCAAAUGAGUUCAGUUGGGUUCAAAAUAGAUGCAGGAUGCAAAGUGGUUUAGCCGUGAACUCGGAAGGACGUAACGGCAGUUUUGCAUUAAUAUGGGAGGAAGGAAUAGAUGUUACCAUUCGAAGUUUCUCUAAGCAUCACAUUGAUUCCCUGGUUCGGUUGAAAAAUCAUAAUAACAUUCGUGUAACUGGAUUUUACGGGCAUGCGAAUCCAAAUUUAAGAAGCAAUUCUUGGGAAAUGUUGGAAAAGGUAGGUGGUUUGGUGAGGGAGGAUUGGGUGGUUGGGGGGGACUUUAAUGCUAUCUUGAAUGAAGCUGAAAAAGAUGGAGGGCGAAGAAAGGUGAGGGCACAUAUGGAUGAAUUUAAAGAUGUCCUAGACAAUUUAGCUCUUGUGGAUAUUAAACCUGUUAGAGGGUGGUUUACUUGGGUCAACAACAGAAGCGGGGGGAACAUGAUAAAAGAAAGGUUAGAUAGGUUUGUUACCUCGGUAUCUAUGAUUGAGAAAUAUCCCUUUAUGACCUCUAAGGUGGUGCGACAAACACAGUCUGAUCAUGAUAAGAUCAUAUGGGACAUGUGGGGCAGUAAGCCUAAGGAGUACCCUAGAGACCAAAGAUUAUGCUUCAGAUUUGAAGAAUGUUGGGCUACGGAUAGUAAGGCAAAAAGUGUUAUUAGCAGUGAGUGGAACCGGGAACCUACAAAUUAUGUUAACAAGUUAGAGAAGAUUCGGGGAGUCCUGGGCCCGUGGCAGAGGGAUAGAUAUGGGAAAAUGAAGAAUGAUAUGUGGAAGUUGGAAAAUAAAAUUGACCGGGCCAUCGAUUCUGAAACAAGGGACGAUAGUGCGAUCAUUUUAAGGGAGAUGAGGAGCAGACUUAGCCAACUCUAUGCCAGGAAAGAAAAAUACUGGGCUCAAAGGUCAAGGUCUCAAUGGUUAAGAGAUGGGGAUAGGAAUACGAGAUAUUUUCAUGCUAGAGCUACGGGUCGAUUACAGAAAAAUACCAUUGAGAAGCUUAAGAAUGAGGAUGGGACGUGGGUAACUGAUAGUAUAGAUAUCAGCAAUGUGGCUAAAAAUUACUUUUGGAGGCUCUUUCGGUCAAAUGGUCAGAACGUUGAAAACCGUGAUAUGGAGUACAUUCAGGAAUGUGUUACUACAGAGAUAAAUGAGUGGCUUAUGAUGGACUACACGGAAAAUGAAAUUCUCCAAGCUAUUAAACAAAUGAACCCUCACAAAGCUCUAGGGGUUGAUGGUCUAUCGGGAAGUUUUUUCAAAAAUCAUUGGGAGAUUGUUGGAAAUGAAACUGUUCAAUUCUGUCUGGACAUUCUUAAGAGAAAAAAUGACAUCGCUGAUAUUAAUGAGACAAUGAUUAUAUUAAUUCCAAAAAUUCGUGAUCCAUGUGAAAUUACUAUCUAUCGUCUCAUUAGUUUAUGUAGAUUUAUUUACAAGAUUGUUUCAAAGGUCUUGGCUAAUCGGCUUAAAGUUGCCCUUCCGGGAUGUAUCAAUCAGAAUCAAAGCGCUUUCGUACCAGGAAGGAUGAUACAUGAUAAUAUCUUAAUCGCACAUGAACUCUUACAUUACCUUCAGAGCUCCAAAAAUGGUCCAAAUAAAGGGAUAGCAAUCAAGAUUGAUAUGAGUGAAGCAUAUGACCGAGUGGAGUGGGAUUUUAUCGAGAAGGUAAUGAAGAAAAUGGGGUUUGCUGAGCAGUGGAUAGACAAAAUUAUGUGUUGCGUUCGGUCGGUAAGAUAUUUUGUUAAGUGUAAUAAUUUGUUAUCGGACAUUAUUAUUCCCGAGAGGGGUCUCCGUAAGGGGAUCCUUUAUCCCCUUAUCUGUUUUUUUUCUAUAUGGAAGCCUUGUCAAUGAUGAUGAUUCAGGCUCAGGAUAAAAAAUCAUUACAAGGAAUUAGGGCUAGUAUUAAAGGACCUAGAGUUAACCACUUAUUUUUUGCUGACGAUGCUCUACUGUUUGUUAAAAAUAAGAAAAAUGAUAUUACCUGUCUUAGCCAUAUACUGAAGGUUUUUGCUAAUGUUUCAGGACAAGAAAUUAAUUAUGAAAAAUAUAUGGUUCUUUUUAGUCCUAAUACUCCCAGGGAACAGAGACACAAUUUCUGUGAAAUUCUUGGCAUGACGGUGGUUGAGAAGCUGGAUAACUAUCUCGGCCUUCCACUUCCUAUAGGAAAAAAGAAAAGAGUGGCUUUCCUGGAGAUAAUUAACAAGCUGUCAUGCAGAUUAAACAGCUGGACCAAGAGGCUCCUUUUAUUUGGCGGUAAGGAAGUCUUCAUAAAAGCAGUUCUUCAGUCCAUACCAACAAUGUUUUGUCGAUCUUUAAGGCUCCUAGAGGUGUGCUGGAUGACAUACAAUCAAAGCUAAGCAGAGCAUGGUGGACGGGCAAAGAUAAAGGCAGAUUUUGGACGAUGCUUCCGUGGAAAACAUUGUGUCACCCGAAAGGAAUGGGUGGAAUUGGCAUAAGGGACAUCACUCUGUUUAACUUGGCUCUACUAGGGAGGCAAGUCUGGAGGCUUAUUAAUAACAAAGACACACUUUGCUAUAAAGUGUUGUCGUCUAAGUAUUUCUCCGAUGGCAAUAUAUUCAACUCCAAGAAGGUUGAUAAAGCGUCUUUUACGUGGACUAGCAUUGCAGCUGCAGCAAAUACCCUCAGAAAUGGAUUCGGGUGGCAGGUAGGAAAUGGAAAUAUGAUAAACAUAAGGGUAGAUAACUGGGGGAUAGAAGGAUUAAACGAUGGAGCUCUUAAUAUGGAUUUGCUUAACCUGAAUGAUAGAAGAGUGUCAGACCUAUGGAAUAAGGAUCAGAGAAGCUGGAAUAGGGAUAAAAUCUUUAAGUUGUAGGGGCAGGAUUGGGGGGAUAAAAUUUGCAACCUCCUUAUUGGGAGAAUAGACCAUGACGAUAGAAUAAUAUGGUUCCAUAAUCCGCAUGGAUGCUAUACCUCAAAGUCUGCUUACUCUUGGCUGCUGUUAGAAAAGAUGGGAUAUGGCCCACAUAGGUUUUUUUGGAAAGCACUAUGGAAGCUUGAUACUUUACCGAAGAUACGAGUAUUUACUUGGCGAGUGGGACACAAAAUUCUCCCGACUAACAAUAAAAUAGCUUCCAUCAGGCAGGGCUUUGACAAGGGAUGUCCGAGAUGUGGAGCCAAGACAGAAAUGGUGUUACAUGCUUUAAAAGACUGCCCAACAUCGAGUGCAGUUCUCUCGAUAGGGGGAUGGUCCAGGAGCUUUAUCACAAAGAAAUAUGACCAUUGCAUUGAUUGGUUGGAAGACAUGAUGCGUGUCCUUGAAAAGAGGGCUAUGGCUGACUUAAUGACAACAUUAUGGAACUACAGGAAUAAUAGAAAUAGUUACAUUUUUAGGGGAAAAGAAGAGGAGGCUCAAGUAAUAUGGGAAAGAGCAAGCAAUCUGAAUAAGAAAUUUCAAAUUUGUAACAUGGUGAACGCUCCUUUAAUUUCACACACUGGCCUGGAGAAACAGUGGGUUAAACCUCCAAAGGGCUUCAUUAAAAUAAAUUUUGAUGCUACAGUGGGCGAAAACAGAAUCGGGUAUGGAACGAUCAUAAGAGAUGAAGAGAGCUUUGUUUUAGAAGGUGGUGGGGGGUUUAAAGAGGGAAGGUUGUCGGUGGAAGAGGCUGAAUGUGUGGCCUUCGAAGAAAGUAUUAAAAUGGCGCGUAAAUUAAAAAUAAAUGGCCAUGUUCUUUUUGAGACGGACCAUGUUGGAAUGGUCAAUAGGCUAAGUAAUAUAGCCAAUGACGUCAUAAAUAUAGGCACCCGUAUUAAGGAUUGUAUAGUAGAUUUUAAUUUCUUUCUUUCAGCCGAGUUAAUUGGUCUUGCAAUAAUGUUGCCCAUUUACUUUGUAAAAAAAUGUAUAGUGAAGGUAACAGCUAUUUUUUUGAUAUGGAUUAUCCGUCGGAUAUCCGUGAAGCUGUAAUUGGUGAUGUUAUGUAAUAAUAUGAGUUGAACCUUGUGGUCUUUUUUUGUUCAAAAAAAAAGAAUGUCGACUGGUAGCACAUUGACCAAGUUUUUUUAGCUCUUUAGGGGGAAGUGAUAUUGAGCAGCCAGGGGUUAUCCAGGGCACUGCCUAUGCCCAUCGCAUGCCUAGACGUCGGUGCCCCUCUACCGCAGGUUAGGUUCUCGGCGGUGCUCCAACGAUCCAUCCCAGCGAUGAUCCGGCGAGCCAUCCCAAGAUAUACAAAACGGCGCAACGAGUCCCUCCCCAAUCCCAAAAGGUAGAAUUCGGGUACUGUUAUAUGUCCGAUACCAAAUAAUGAAUGAAUCGUACCAAAGAUAGAAUUCAGAUAUCGUUGCUUGUCCGGUACCCAAGAAUGGAUGAAUCGUCCCUGUCCCUCCCCUAUUGUAAUAAGAGCCUCUGACACCUUUGGCCCCUGGUCGUGCGGUAGCCUCGUACACUAUCGGCAGCGUGUGCCAUCACGUGUUGCGGGGCCAUCGGGCAUCGCCGGCCCCUUUGAUGUGUCGGAGAAUCAGGCAGCAUCGCCACCUUGGUGCAUUAGAUGUGCGGGAGGGUCGAGCACCAAAACUAAUUUUGGGCCCCCGUUGGUGCAGAAGCGUCAGUACCAUAAAGUGUCCCUGUUUCAGACACAUGAAUGUCGCCUGGUAGCACAUUAACCAAGUUUUUUUAGCUCUUUAGGGGGGAGGUGAUAUUGAAUCGAGCAGGGGUUGUCCAGGGCACUACCCACGCCCAUCUCAUGCCCAGCCGUCGGUGCCCCCCAUCGCUGGUUAGGUUCCGACGGUGCUCCGACGAGCUUUCUUGGGGGUGCUCCAGUGAGCUUUCCCGGUGAUGCUCCGGCGAGCCAUCCUAGAAUAUAAAAAACGAUGCUACGAUUCAUCCCGGUCCCUCCCCCAGGUCCUUCCCCUUUUGGAACAAGAGCCUCCGGCACCUUGGGCCCUUGGUCGUACCGGAGCAUCAGGCAACAUUGGUAACCUAGGACGUCGAUAGUGCCAGAGCAUCAGCACAUUGCUGCUUGGAUGUGCUGGAGCCUUGAACGCCAUCGGCAACCUAGGAUGUCGGUGGUGUGAGAGCCUCGAGCAGCAUCGGCGCCUUGGUGCUCAGAUGUGCAGGAGCCUUGAGCAGCAUAGACACCUUGGUGCCUCGGAUGUGCGGAAGCCUCGGACACCAUCGGAAAACUAGGCCAUUGGUUGUGCCGGAGCCUCGAGCACCAUCGGCAACCUAGGCCCUUGGUCGUGGGGGAGCCUCGGGCACCAUCGACAGCCUAGACCCCUGGUCGUGCGAGAGCCUCAGGCAUCAUCAGCAACCUAGGCGCUUGGUCGUGCGAGAGCCUCGGGACCAUCGGCAACAUAGGCCCUUGGUCUUGCGAAAGCCUCGGAGCCAUCGGUAACCUAGGCCCUUGGUCAUGCGGGAGCCUCGGGCACCAUCGGGACCUAGACCCUUGGUCUUGCGGGAACCUCGAGUACCAUCGGUAACCUAGGCCCUUGGUCGUGCGGGAGCCUCGGGUACCAUCGGCAACCUAGGCCCUUGGUCGUGCGGGAGCCACGAGCAACAUCGGGGCCUAGGCCUUUGGUCAUGUGGGAGACUCGGGCACCAUCGGCACCUUAGUGCUUGGAUCUGCGGGAGCCUCGGGCACCAUCGGUAACCUAGGCCCCUGGUCUUGCGGGAGCCUCGGGCAGCAUUGGCAACCUAGGCCCCUGGUCGUGCGAGAGCCUCGGGACCAUCGUCAACCUAGCCCCCUGGUCGUGCAGGAGCCUCGGCACCAUCGGCACCUUGGUGCUUAGAUGUGCGGGAGCCUCGGGCACUAUUGGCUACCUAGGCCCCUGGUCGUGCGGGAGCCUCGGGCACCAUUGGUAACCUAGUCCCCUGGUCGUGCGGGAGCCUCAGGCACCAUCGGCAAUCGAGGCGCUUGGUCGUGCGAGAGCCUCGGGACCAUCGGCACCUAGGCCCUUGGUCGUGGGGGAGCGUCGGGCCCCAUCGGCACCUUGGUACUUGGAUGUACGGGAGCCUCAGACACCAUCGGCAACCUAGGCCAUUGGUCGUGCGGGAGCCUCGGGAAUCAUCGGGGCCUAGGCCCUUGGUCGUGCGGGAGCCUCGAGCACCAUCGGCAACCUAGGCCAUUGGUCAUGCGGGAGCCUCGGGCACCAUCGGCAACCUAGGCCCUUCGUCGUGCGGGAGCCUCGAGCAUCAUCAGCGCCUAGGCCCUUGGUCGUGCUGGAGCCUCGGGCACCAUCGACACCUUAGUACUUGGAUUUGCGGGAGCCUCGGACAUUAUCGGCAAUCUAGGCCCCUGGCCUUGCGGGAGACUCGGGCACCAUUGGCAACCUAGGCCCCUGGUCGUACGAGAGCAUCGGGACCAUCGGUAACCUAGGCCCCUAGUCGUGCGGGAGCCUCGGGCACCACCGGCACCUUGGUGCUUGGAUGUGCGGGAGCCUCGGGCAGCAUCGGUAACCUAGGCCCCUAGUCGUGCAGGAGCCUCGGGCACCAUCGGUAACCUAGCCCCCUAGUCGUGCAGGAGCCUCGGGCACCAUCGGCAACCUAGGCGCUUGGUCGUGCGAGAGCCUCGGGACCAUCGGCACCUAGGCCCUUGGUUGUACGGGAGCCUCGGGCACCAUCGGCACCUAGGCCCUUGGUCGUGCGGGAGCCUUGGGCAUCAUCGGUACCUUGGUGCUUGGAUGUGCGGGAGCCUCAGACACCAUCGGCAACCUAGGCCCAUGGUCGUGCGAGAGCCUCGGGUUCCAUCGGUAACCUAGGCCCUUGGUCGUGUGGGAGCCUCGGGCACCAUCGGGACCUAGGCCCUUGGUGGUACGGGAGCCUCGAGCACCAUUGGCAACCUAGGCCCUUGGUCGUGCGGGAGCCUCGGGCACCAUCGACAACCUUGGCCCUUGGUCAUGCGGGAACCUCGAGCACCAUCAGCGCCUAGGCCCUUGGUCAUGCGGGAGCCUCGGGUACCAUCGGCACCUUAGUACUUGGAUCUGCGGGAGCCUCGGGCACCACCGACAACCUAGGCCCCUGGCCUUGCGGGAGACUCGGGCACCAUUGGCAACCUAGGCCCCUGGUCGUAUAAAAGCCUCGAGACCAUCGGCAACCUAGGCCCCUGGUCGUGCGAGAGCCUCGGGCACCAUCGGCACCUUUGUGCUUGAAUGUGCGGGAGCCUUGGGCAGCAUCGGUAACCUAGGCCCCUGGACGUGCGGGAGCCUUGGGCACCAUCGGUAACCUAGUCCCCUAGUCGUGCGGGAGCCUCGGGCACCAUCGGCAACCUAGGCGAUUGGUCGCGCGAGAGCCACGGGACCAUCGGUACCUAGGCCCUUGGUCGUGCGGGAGCUUCAGGCACCACCGGCACCUUGGUGCUCGGAUGUGGGGGAGCCUCAGGCACCAUCAGCAACCCACGCCCUUAGUCAUGCGGGAGCCUCGGGUACCAUCGGUAACCUAGGCCCCUGGUUGUGCGAGAGCCUCGGGCACCAUCGACACCUUGGUGCCUCGGAUGUGCGGGAGCCUCUAGCAGCAUUGGCGUCUUGGUGCUUGGAUGUGCGGGGGCCCCGAACACCAUUGGCAACCUAGGACGUUGGAUGUGCGGGUGCCUCGAGUAGCAGGGGCACCCUGGUGCCUCGGAUGUGCGGGCUAAAGAAAAGAGUCCCCGUUUCUAACAACGAAUGUUGCCUGGCAGCAGAUUGACGAAGUUUUUUUAGCUCUUUAAGGGGUAGAGAUCUGCUGCCCCCCGACGUGGCCCCCUUCCAACCCGAGGUGGGGUGCGUCUGCAGCCUCCACGGGGGUCGGAAAGUCCCACAAUGACUCACCAAUGGUGGUGGGUCGAUCGCCGAUGCUAGUGGCCAGGGUGAUGACUUUCCGGCCGGUCAAGCCCGUGCCCAUAGAAAUGUAGCCAACGACUCCAGGACCAGGUUCCCUAUAUCGGGCAAAGAUCUACUGGGGUGGCUUAUGCAUUGAUAUGGGCUCGAGCUUGGCUUGCCCAUUCUCCCCCGUCAUGUUAGGGACGUCUUGUGCCUCCCAAGUCGACGACCCAUCGGCGCCUUGGCCUUGCCAAGGCCUUGGCUUCAUUCGAAGCUUCCCAUGACCCCGGUACCAAGUCCCUUUGACGGUAACGGCUCACUGAUGGGCGUAAUUUGAGUUUGUAGUCUCGGUCUUGGCUCAACCAAGUCCCAGUGGAAUUUUGUCCCUCACAGUUCUCGUGCCAAGCGGUUGUGGUGUGCCCUCAUUUCAUCCGCUCCCCUACCAAUACAUUGGUUGGGUGGGUUGUUGGCCAGUGCGCGUGGGUGCUACUACUAGUACGCAAUGGGAAUAUGAGUGGCGUUUUGGUUGUGUGUAUUGGCAGGCUCCAUGCUACCCGCAUCGAACUGUCAAGCCACACUUCUCUUUAUUGACUCCCCUUGUUCUAAUUGAACCCAAGGGGUGCGAUCGGGAUCCUGUGUUGCGUACCUAAGCCAGAUGGAAUUAUGGAUGUGUUGCCAUCCCUUCUCCAUCUCCUGCCCUUUAGGGGACGUGGUGGACCACAAUCGUGCCCUGUGUCCUGAGUGUGCCCCCUUAAAGCGGUGUGGCCUCGUCGAUGCAUUGGCGCUCGUUCGUGCUUUCGGAUGCGGAAAAUAUUUUUGAGAGUAGGGUUUAGGCCCUUGUCUCUCGAUGCCUAUGCAUUUUGUGUCUUGACACGGAUGAUGCUCGUGCUCUGUUAUAACCUCUUCGUUGCUCACACGGCAUGUUGAGAGCCAUGUAGUGCCGACGUCGCGGAGGAAUGCUACCUGGUUGAUCCUGCCAGUAUUUAUAUGCUUGUCUCAAAGAUUAAGCCAUGCAUGUGUAAGUAUGAACAAAUUCAGACUGUGAAACUGCGAAUGGCUCAUUAAAUCAGUUAUAGUUUGUUUGAUGGUAUUUGCUACUCGGAUAACCAUAGUAAUUCUAGAGCUAAUACGUGCAACAAACCCCGACUUCUG